rnacentral:rRNA from 1 species
UUAAGUGACGAUAGCCUAGGAGAUACACCUGUACCCAUGCCGAACACAGAAGUUAAGCCCUAGAACGCCGGAAGUAGUUGGGGGUUGUCCCCUGUGAGAUAUGGAAGUCGCUUAGC